UACUCCUGUUGAAUAUAUUUGCUGUGUGCGUGUUCGAUUUGCCUUUAUCACUUGUGCUUUUAAGCUGUUCACAAAAUUUUCAAAUUUUAAGUAAUCCUUUUCAUCUCUAUUAUGUUUUUUAAAUUCAUCUCUGUAAUGUUUGAAAACAGCUGUUGAAAACAUGCAUACUUCAAAAAGUGCCCAUUACACACUUUAGUCAGCAGUAUAAGGCAAGGUUAAAAAGACUUGAAACAUCGUAUUUGAAUGUUGCAUGUCUGCUUGGAUGAUACUGAGUAUUUAAAAACCAGUUUACCAUUAUAAAAGGUUGCUUUAGCAUUAAGGUAAAAAAUUGUUCUUUGAACUUUUCAUUUUAAUUUUUUUGGUGCAUGUUAAUUCGUAAAAUAUUAAUUGUGAAAUGUUGCUACGAUAUAGUUUGUUUCGCACCUCUGUACCACCAGUUAUUCAUUAUUAAGGCAAGGUGAUCGUGUAUGAAGUGCUUCAAGUCACUAGGAAUAUUUGUCUUUUUAAAUGACUUUGACAUAUCUUAAUAUAAGCAAUGAAGAUUUUGUCUUGGUUUAUAGAUAGUAUAAAAUAGUAUAAAUCUGGAAUUUCUAAUGAUCAGUUGUUUAAAGUAACUCGUUAGAAUCUGGCAUGCGAAGGUUAGAUUGUAUGGCAUUCGAGGAAUUUUAUAGCAUAGUUAUACUCAUACUCUCUUUGACGUGUAAAACAGAGAUUUCUUUGGGUUUGUUUUGUUUAUUUACUUGUAAACACGUAAAAAGUGUCAAUCUCCUAAGGUAACCCAGUGAUUUAACUUACAUUCCUCAUUAUAUUCUAAGUGCAUGCAAUGUUUUUGCAUGUUGAAUUUUUAAAAAAAAAAUUCUUAUAAUAAGUCAAACUAUAAACAAGUAGAUAAAAAUAAUAUAUUUGUUUCGGUUUCUACAUUAAAAAUUCAAAAUUAUGAGAUGAUCAUAUCUAGGAUUCAAACAACUGUUUCAUAUAUAUGUAAUUUUUAUGCGUGAAAAUGGUGAUAUCGACAAGAAAGGGUAAACGAUUGGUUAAAUGUCUGUGUAUAUUUUCAUCAAAAUGUUACCAUAUUGUGUUCAAAUAAUCAUACCAAUCACGUGAUAUUGACUGUUUGUGUGUACAAGAGAUCUUUGCGAUGGUUAUUUUGUAUUACAUAUAUACAUAUACCUAUUUCAUGUCUUUGUUAAUAAACUGUUAUCCCUG
rnacentral:misc_RNA from 1 species